rnacentral:rRNA from 1 species
AUGGAUGAAUUGGCAAGAAAACAAAGGCAACUAAUUGUGAGAGGAGCCGGUCUAGUGGCUGGAUUGUAUGCUUACAUGAUGGUCAUAUUUAGAAGAUCUAGGCAACAAACACCAAGGAUAACCGUGGGCAGCAUGGCCGAUCGUGCCAUAUCUAGAGAGUCAAAUUUGAGAUACAUUUAUCACUCUAGUGACAUAAAUUGUUCAAAUCAACUCAGAAUGAGAAAAGCUCCAUUUUUCCGUUUGUGUGCUAUAUUUAGAGAGAGAAAUUUGUUGUUGGAUAGCAUACAUACUUCUAUCGAGGAACAAGUUGCCAUGUUUCUUUAUGUAGUUGGCCAUAACCAAAGGUAUAGGACACUACAACCUAUCUUCGGAAGAUCUAUCGAAGUCAUUAGUAGGUAUUUCAAGGCAGUGCUUUAUGCUGUUGGGGAGUUGAGAGAUGAGAUGAUUCGACCUCCCUCCAACCAUUGCCAUCGUAAAAUACAAGAAAGCACCCGCUUCAAUCCAUAUUUUAAGGAUUGUGUUGGAGCAAUAGAUGGGACUCAUUUGCUUGCUAGAGUCCCAAAAAGUAUCUCAGCUGCCUUUAGGGGUAGAAAGGAGGGGACUACCCAAAAUGUGAUGGCCGCGGUAGACUUUGAUCUAAAGUUUACCUAUGUACUUGCGGGUUGGGAGGGGUCAGCUCAUGAUGCCCUUAUACUUGCAAAUGCACUGGAGAGGGAAGAUGGGUUGAAAGUUCCUACAGGUAAUAAAUUAGAGCCUACUACCUAA